GCGGGAGUGGCGAGGUAGUAGACGCACCAGAUUUAGGUUCUGGCGCCGCAAGGUGUUGCGAGUUCAAGUCUCGCCUCCCGCA
rnacentral:tRNA from 1 species